rnacentral:rRNA from 1 species
GAUGAACGCUGGCGGCGUGCCUAAUACAUGCAAGUCGAGCGAACAGACGAGGAGCUUGCUCCUCUGAAGUUAGCGGCGGACGGGUGAGUAACACGUAGCUAACCUACCUAUAAGACUGAGAUCACUUCGGGAAACCGGAGCCAAUACCGGAUAAUAUAUUGAACCGCAUGGUUCAAUAGUGAAAACGGGAUUUGCUGUCCCUUAUACAUGUACGCGGGCCGCAUUAGCUAGUUGGUAAGGUAACGGCGUACCAAGGCAAGGAUGCGUAGCCGACCGGAGAGGGUGAUCGGCCACACUGGAACUGAGACACGGUCCAGACUCCUACGGGAGGCAGCAGUAGGAAAUCUUCAGCAAUGGGCGAAAGCCUGACGAAGCAACGCCGCGGGAGUGAUGAAGGUCUUCGGUUCGUAAAACUCUGUUAUUAGGGAAGAACAAAUGUGUAAGUAACUAUGCUCGUCUUGACUGUACCUAAGCAGAAAGCCACGGCAAACUACUG